rnacentral:rRNA from 1 species
GCAUAUCAAUAAGCGGAGGAAAAGAAACCAACAGGGAUUGCCUUAGUAGCGGCGAGUGAAGCGGCAAUAGCUCAAAUUUGAAAUCUGGCACCUUCGGUGUCCGAGUUGUAAUUUGAAGAAGGUAUCUUUGGUUUUGGCUCUUGUCUAUGUUCCUUGGAACAGGACGUCACAGAGGGUGAGAAUCCCGUGCGAUGAGAUGCCCAAUUCCAUGUAAAGUUCCUUCGACGAGUCGAGUUGUUUGGGAAUGCAGCUCUAAGUGGGUGGUAAAUUCCAUCUAAAGCUAAAUAUUGGCGAGAGACCGAUAGCGAACAAGUACUGUGAAGGAAAGAUGAAAAGAACUUUGAAAAGAGAGUGAAAAAGUACGUGAAAUUGUUGAAAGGGAAGGGCUUGAGGUCAGACUUGGUUUUACCAGGCCAGCAUCAGUUUGGAUGGCAGGAUAAUAGCUAAGGAAAGUGGCUCCACUUCGGUGGUGUGUUAUAGCCUUAGUUGAUACUGCCUGUCUAGACUGAGGACUGCGUCUUUGACUAGGAUGCUGGCAUAAUGACCUUAAGCCGCCCGUCUUGAAACACGGACC